UUCACCCAAUCCUGACCUUAUUCAUUACUAAGCUACUAUGACUCCCCCUUAACUCCUUAGCCCUCUCCCUUUAACCAAUCGUUAAAACUCUUCAAGCUCCUAACUUAUCCGCUCCCAUUGCUUGACAUUUUGUAAUACCUUAACCUUAUCUUCUCUAUUUCCGAACCUAUUCAAGUUCCUCCUACUAAGCCUUCUGAUUAUAAACUCCGAGAUGUCGUUCUCUAUGACUUCACUACUUUGUACCUGAAAUAAGAUAACCAUACCUAAGGUGUGAUAUUAAACUCAUACCAGGACUUUAAUAAGAUCCAAUCCAAACAUCUCUAGGAAUAGACCG
rnacentral:lncRNA from 1 species